UACGAAGGGGGCUAGCGUUGCUCGGAAUUACUGGGCGUAAAGGGAGCGUAGGCGGAUAGUUUAGUCAGAGGUGAAAGCCCAGGGCUCAACCUUGGAAUUGCCUUUGAUACUGGCUAUCUUGAGUACGGAAGAGGUAUGUGGAACUCCGAGUGUAGAGGUGAAAUUCGUAGAUAUUCGGAAGAACACCAGUGGCGAAGGCGACAUACUGGCCCGAUACUGACGCUGAGGCACGAAAGCGUGGGGAGCAAACAGG
rnacentral:rRNA from 1 species